rnacentral:rRNA from 1 species
GACGAACGCUGGCGGCGUGCUUAACACAUGCAAGUCGAACGGUGAAGCGAGUGCUUGCACUCGUGGAUCAGUGGCGAACGGGUGAGUAACACGUGAGUAACCUGCCCAUCACUCUGGGAUAAGCACUGGAAACGGUGUCUAAUACUGGGUACGACCAACCCUUGCAUGGGGUGUUGGUGGAAAGAUUUAUCGGUGAUGGAUGGACUCGCGGCCUAUCAGCUUGUUGGCGGGGUAAUGGCCCACCAAGGCGACGACGGGUAGCCGGCCUGAGAGGGUGACCGGCCACACUGGGACUGAGACACGGCCCAGACUCCUACGGGAGGCAGCAGUGGGGAAUAUUGCACAAUGGGCGAAAGCCUGAUGCAGCGACGCCGCGUGAGGGAUGACGGCCUUCGGGUUGUAAACCUCUUUCAGCAGGGAAGAAGCGAAAGUGACGGUACCUGCAGAAGAAGCACCGGCUAACUACGUG